CAAGUACUUGUAUGAGCCACAGUGUCAAAGGCUGCUGUGAGAUCCUACAGAACCAACACAGCAUGAUUCCCUGCAUCCACAGACAGUGAUGUCAUUAUGCACUUUCAAAAGUGCUGACUCAGUGCUGUGUCGUGAUCUAAAUCCAGAUUGGAAUUUUUCAAGGAUGUGAUUGUUUUCUAAA